rnacentral:rRNA from 1 species
AGCUUGGGGUGAGGAGGUGGUUGGAGGGAGGGGGACACACGCCGGUGCCAUGGGGUGGGGUGGUGGUGGACGGUGGUCGUGGCGGCGGCAGGUGGUGGACGGACCGUCGGCUGCUGGUGCUCCUACCGGGGCUGGUGGCGCCGCGGGGUGGGGUGGCGGAGGAGAGUGAGGGACGGCCGCGCGGAGGGAAGGGGUUGGGUGUCGCGGUGCGGCGGUGUGGAGGUAGGUUUGGGCUGCAGGCGGCCGGAGGAGAGGAACUGGGAGGAGCUUCAACCAUCGGGGCCGAGCGCCACGCCCGAUGGGAAGGAGGAUGUUGCGGCCACUGUAGGUCCCCGCGUCGGUGGGGGUCGGUGGUGCGGUGGCGGGGGCCACGCCGAAGUUGGCGGCUUAGGCCGGCGGUAGCCGGGGACCGCGCCGGAUUAGAGACGAAGGAGGAGGACGCGACCGUGGACCGGCCGGGCAGGAGGAGAUGAGGUUGUGCGUGUUCCAGGGGGGCAGGAAACUUUUUAACCACAGCGCGGCGGUCGGGAGGUCUAGGUGACGGAGGUCGUAGUGGCGACCGGCGGCCUCGGGGCGCCCUACAUACCGCACGUCAAGCCGGGCGCUCCCGCUCGUCACGUGAACCUCCUCCUUCACGUGAUAUGGGCGCUGGAACUGCUCGCCCUAGGCGCUCGGCCGAUCGAUGUAUGGGCAGGGUUGGAGGUAAUGGGGUGGGCGUCGCCGCUCGUCUCCCCCUCCCGGGGGUGGUGUGCGCGUCAACGAGGUGGGGGUAGCCGUUUCUACCCACCGUGUACGCCCGCACGUCGUGCCGGUUGUUGCCGCACGUCAUAUCGGUUGCUGCCGCACGUCAUGCCGGUUGCUGCCGCACGUCAUGCCGGUUGCUGCCACUGAUAAGUACUCGUGGUGCGGGGCGACUGGAGGUAACAGAAAAAGGGACACGUCGAGCGCCGUGGCGCGGAGCACAUCAUCUGACGAGGAGACGCACACCAAUUAGGCUCGCACUAGAGGUGAAGGUGACUAAACAUCGUGUACGUAAGUCAAGUACGAUCCAUGUGACCAAGUACCUCAAGCGGGCACAUGAGGGUGAUAGUUCGUCGCUCGUCGUUAAGCAAAACGCCGCGACAGCAGAUCAAUGAGCUACAUCGCUCGUUGAAAUCACCGUCGCACGAACGUCCAACGUCAAACCAGGCGUAGCGACGCACACGCCACGCGGUAGUAACAACAACGUCGAGUCGUCGAGUGGGGACACGUCAAACCGG